UGGGGAAUCUUCCGCAAUGGACGAAAGUCUGACGGAGCAACGCCGCGUGAGUGAAGACGGCCUUCGGGUUGUAAAGCUCUGUUAUUCGGGAAGAACGAUUCGUUUGUGAACAAUGAACGGAAGUGACGGUACCGAAAGAGAAAGCCACGGCUAACUACGUGCCAGCAGCCGCGGUAAUACGUAGGUGGCAAGCGUUGUCCGGAAUUAUUGGGCGUAAAGAGCGCGUAGGCGGUAUGGUAAGUCUGUCUUAGAAGUGCGGGGCUUAACCCCGUGAGGGGACAGAGACUGUCAUACUGGAGUCUCGGAGAGGAAAGCGGAAUUCCUAGUGAAGCGGUGAAAUGCGUAGAGAUUAGGAAGAACACCGGUGGCGAAGGCGGCUUUCUGGACGAGCACUGACGCUGAGGCGCGAAAGCGUGGGGAGCGAACAGG
rnacentral:rRNA from 1 species